rnacentral:rRNA from 1 species
GGCGAAUUCCAAGCUUCGCGGCCUAUCAGCUUGUUGGCGGGGUAACGGCCCACCAAGGCGGUGACGGGUAGCUGGUCUGAGAGGAUGGCCAGCCACAUUGGGACUGAGAGACGGCCCAGACUCCUACGGGAGGCAGCAGUGGGGAAUCUUGCGCAAUGGCCGCAAGGCUGACGCAGCGACGCCGCGUGGGGGAGGAAGGGCUUCGGCUCGUAAACCCCUGUUGCCCGGGGCGAACAUCCCUUUUCGAGGGGACUGACGGUACCGGGUGAGGAAGCACCGGCUAACUCCGUGCCAGCAGCCGCGGUAAUACGGAGGGUGCGAGCGUUGUCCGGAAUCACUGGGCGUAAAGGGCGCGUAGGUGGCCGAGCAAGGUCGCGGUGAAAGCCUGGGGCUCAACCCCGGGUCGGCCGUGGCAACUACUUGGCUUGAGCACUGUAGGGGCGGGUGGAAUUCCGGGUGUAGCGGUGGAAUGCGUAGAGAUCCGGAAGAACACCGGUGGCGAAGGCGGCCCGCUGGGCAGGAAGGCUCGAAAGAGCCGGCUGACACUGAGGCGCGACAGCGUGGGGAGCAAACAGGAUUAGAUACCCUGGUAGUCCACGCCGUAAACGAUGGGCACUAGGUGCUUGGGGGAGCGACCCUCCGAGUGCCGGCGCUAACGCAU